GCCUCUUUAGCUCAGCUGGCAGAGCAGCUCAUUCGUAAUGAGCAGGUUGUCAGUUCGAUUCUGACCA
rnacentral:tRNA from 1 species